GACGAACCGUGCGAACGUUGUUCGGAAUCACUGGGCUUAAAGGGCGCGUAGGCGGCCGGGUUGGUCGUGGGUGAAAUCCCCCAGCUUAACUGGGGAAUUGCCUACGAUACUGCCUGGCUCGAGGGAGGAAGGGGCGGCCGGAACUGUCGGUGGAGCGGUGAAAUGCGUUGAGAUCGACAGGAACGCCGGUGGCGAAAGCGGGCUGCUGGCCCUCUUCUGACGCUGAUGCGCGAAAGCCAGGGGAGCGAACGGG
rnacentral:rRNA from 1 species